AGGGUAAAAGUUGAUUUUUUAUAAUUUUUUUGUAUGAUAGGAUUUAUUUCUCUGAAAUUAGAAGAUCAACUUAGAGGAGACAAAAACUUAACUUUUUUUUUUUUAAACCUCACAAGUCUUUUUUUCUAGUAUAUAACAGUUCAGUAGAUAAUUUGAAACUGAUUAAUCUAUUAUACCAUCUGUCAGAAAUGUGCUGCAGCUGUUAAAUGUCCAGCAAAAUUUGAACUGUAAGUCUUGAGUAAUUUGCCCUUGGUACAUGCAGACCAGACAAUUUCCUGUUUGAUUUACAGACAUGAUUCUUGCAAACGUGACUGAUUUUCUAGAUAUACUACCUUAGGUUUUUUCUGAACAUAGCUAUUGGCCUAUAAAAAAAGACACAAAGGAAGAAAUUGGCUCUGAUUUUUUUCUUUUUGUCUUUUUAGGGCUGCCCCCACGGCAUAUGGAGGUUCCCAGGCUAGGGGUCGAAUCAAAGCUGUAGCUGCCGACCUACACCACAGCCACAGCAACACAGGAUCCAAGCCGCGUCUGCGACCUACACCACAGCUCACGGCAAUGCCUGAUCCUUAACCCGCUGAGCGAGACCAGAAAUCGAACCUGCAGCCUCAUGGAUGCUCGUCGGAUUCCUUAACUGUUGAGCCAUGACAGGAACUCCUGAUUUUUUUUUUAGAUAAUAGCAUUGAAUCUAUUCAUUAUCAGAUGCAACUGUACUGAUUGUGAUUUUUUCAAAGCAUAUGAAAAUCCCUACCCUGUGUUCUAUGUUCCACAUAUGGAGAAUGUAAAGAAGUCCCCUUCUUGCAGAAGAGAUCACCAUAUAGCGGGGAGAUCAACAUAUAAGCAAAACUUAUCACAAUAGAUUUUCAGUGAUACAGAGUGAAAGUAUUAUAUUACAUAUACCAAAUUCUUAUGUUCUUUUGAAAACAAACAAAAAAAGAGUUAUAAAAUAACUGUCUCAGAAACAUCAAUAGGUUCAACUCUUAUGAAAUUCACUUCCCAAGGUGUUUUAAAAGUUCUAAAGGCACAUACUGAUGACGCAGAAAAACUCUCUCUAUAAUCCAAGGGUUCAAAUUACAAGUCAUUUUAAGUUGAUAAGGAUCAGAGAGAUGAUCUUUCAUAUGUGAGGUACAGUGAGGAAAGUCUAUGCACAAGAUGCUGGGAUAAACCCAACUGUCUCUGCACAAGCAGUUUUUCAAAUGGAAAAAUGAGAAAAUGGACAUUGGAUAAAGUGCAUAUAUCUCAGUGGGCAAAAUCAGGAACUAUUUUGCCUUGUCCACAUUUAGAUGUAUUUAUUACUUAUCAUUGUCAGUAAUUUAUUGAUGCAACAGCAUUUUAUGGCAUUUGUACUGCAUGCCUGGUUCUUAGACCCUGGGAAUACAGGCUUAGCAGGACAGGCACAUGCUCUGUUCCCAUUGCUCUGGCAGUCCAGUCAACAACAAAAAAGUAAUUAAAAAGUUUUUUAAAAAAAUAAAUAUUUGGGAUUAUUUUGGAUUGUGAUUGGUGCUGUGAACCAUAUAAAAUAAUAUGUUCAAAUAGCAAAUAAAUAGUGUGUGGAGGGUAUGAAGGUGAAUGUUGAAGAAUUUUUUUUCAUUUUUUAAAUUUUUAUUGAAAUAUAGUUGGUUUAUAAUGUUGUGAUAAUUUUGCUGUACAAGUUAUUCAGCUACAUAUAUACACACAUCCAUUCUUUUUCAGAUUUUUUCCCAGAUAGAUCAUCACAGAAUAUUGUGAGGAGAUCCCUGUGUUAUAUAGCAGUUCCCCAUUGACUGUCAUUCUAUAUACCACAGUGUGCAUAUGCUGAUCCCAAAUACCCAGGCCAUCCCUCUCCCACCCCCUGUACUUGUGUUGAUGAUUUAUAUACUAGCCAGGGAAAGAGAGGGUGGCUUUUGGUGUUGAAGGCUGAGUAGCAAGGAGCCAGCCCUCUUUAGAGCUGGUGAAGGGAAUUUUUUGGUCUUGCACAUGGUGUGCAGAAGUUCCUGGGCCAGGAAUGGAACCAGAGCCACAAGAGUAACCUGAGCCACAGCAGUGACAACACCCAGUCCUUAACCAUUAGGCCAUCAUGGAAAUCGCUUUUUUGUUUUGUUUUGUUUUGUUUUGUUUUUUACUGGUGAGAGGAAUUCCAAUCAGGUUGCAGGGAGAGGGGAAGGCCCUUGAGCAGGAGCUUGCUUGAUGUAUCUGCAAAAGAGAAAGAAGUGAAGCUAGAGCUUAGUGACCCAUAGGAAAAGAGUGAAAUGGAAUAACACCAGAGCUACUUCAGGGCCAGGCCAUUGCAGUCUUUGGUGGAAUUGAGUUUUCACACUCAGUGCAAGGGGAAGCCGUCAGGAUGUUGUCAAGGCAAGGAAUAAUAUGAUCCCCCUAUUUACAAGAUGUAUCUGGCAACUGUAAAGAAAAUGGAUUUUAAGGUGAUUAAGAUUGAAGCAGGAAAUAACUACCUAAUAGAAUUUAUUACAUGAAUAAAUGGAGUACGCUUGACGUACUUUGCCAAACCUUAUAUUUAUUGGAUGUAGGCGUAUCAACUGAGUGGCUGAUUAUGUACGGUUUUCUCUGAAAACACCUAUUUCAAACAGCAGGAGUCUCUUCAUUUUAGUUGAAAGAUACAUGUCUGUUGUGCAAGAAGAUACUGGAAUUGCUGCAGUAUCAUGCUGUAGGGUAUCACUUCUAGUAAAUUCCUGGGAUCAGAAUGGGAGGUGGUAAGAAAAAUAUGAGCACUUCGAUAUUAUUAGUCAAUCUGCAUAUCUGGGAAUGAAUCCAAUGCAACAUAUACAAAUUUUAUGCAUAGUGAGUCUAGAAGUGUCAUGUCCUUGAAAUGUAGACUUCAGAAAACAUAGGCCUUGUGAUCAGGCUCAAAUUGGUUUUAGCCCUGGAUUUUUUUUUUUUUUUUAAUUUUAAAUUGUAUUUUAAUUUUACCAUGCAUUUUGUUUCAUUUUAUUUUAAUGAUUUUUUAUUUUUUCCAUUAUAACUGGUUUAAAGUGUUCUGUCAAUUUUCUGCUGUACAGCAAGGUGACCCAGUCACACAUACAUUAUACAUUCUUUUUUCUCACAUUAUCAUGAUCCAUUAUAAGUGACUAGCACUGUAUAGCACUGGCCCUAGAUCUUUUAUUCUUUAACUGUGUGGUCUCAAGCUUCCUCCUCUGUACAAUGGUAAUGAUACCUGUGUCAAAGGCUUACUCUAAUAACUCACUGAAAUAAUUCUCUCAAAAUAUUUACUGCAUUGACUGUCACAUAAGUACUCAAUAAGUGAUUGCUGUUACUGUUCACUUUUUUACUGGUUCUAGUUUAAUGGUCUCUAUUGCUUAUGCUACUGAGAUAGAAGAUGGGAAAGCUGCCUCACUUAACUCAAGGCUACUGUAAUGCAUAUGGUAGCACAUUGGGUUGUGUCCUGGUCAAUGGAAAAAACAUAAAAAGGAAAACAGGAGUAGUAAAGUGGGAAGAUUCAGCGAAAGGAAAAGGGGUUUCCUUUUUUCACUCACUGAUUUUCAUUACAUCUCAAAUAAAAUGUGUCCUUUCAGUUGAUUUAAUUCAAAAGUCAUUAUCUUUAACUUUUCCCUUAAUUAGCACUUGAUGGCAAACAAAUUGUGCUUCUCAUCAUGAUUGCUGUCCCCAUAAAGUCUUUUUGUGUUUAGGUAAAACCAAAUCCAUUCUUUCAUACAUUGUAUGGAAAGACAAGUAAUUUCUCAAUUUACUUCUAUAAUCUCUUUUACCAAGGAGCUAACACCCUUGCAUUUCCCUGUGCAAAGGAAUUUGACCCUGCUAUGCAGAACCAAAUAAAAGAUCUCUUUAUAAAAUGAAAUACAAAAAACAAUAUUUGUUUUUACUUUAAAACAAAAGGUAAUAUUUGUAUGGGAGUUUCUAUGAUAGGUCAAAGUAUAUUACUAUUGUAAAUGUUUAUUUAGCAUAUGUUAUAUUAAUGUAAUAUGUGUUUGUGUGUGUAUGUGUGUGUGUGAAGACUAAUAACAGUGAUUACUUCUAUGGAUUAUGAGAGUCUUUUCUGUCUCUGUACUGAUGAAAUUUUAUAGAACCAAGAAAAAAAACUGAUCUCAUUUUCAGUGACAAAAAGUAGACCAGAGGAGUUUCUGUUGUGUCUCAGUGGUAACAAAUCCGAGCAGUAUCCAUGAGGAUGCGAGUUUAAUCCCUGGCCUUGCUCGGUGGGUUAGGGAUCUGGCACUGGCGUGAGCUGUGGGGUAGGUCACAGACAUGGCUCAGAUGCCCAGUUGCUAUGGCUGUAGUGUAGGUCAACAGCUGUAGCUCCGAUUCGACCUCUAGCCCUAGAACUUCCAUAUGCUGCAUGCACAGC
rnacentral:lncRNA from 1 species